rnacentral:rRNA from 1 species
GACGUAGGGCGCGAGCGUUGUCCGGAUUUAUUGGGCGUAAAGAGCUCGUAGGCGGCUUGUCGCGUCGGCUGUGAAAUCCCGCGGCUCAACUGCGGGUCUGCAGUCGAUACGGGCAGGCUAGAGUUCGGUAGGGGAGACUGGAAUUCCUGGUGUAGCGGUGAAAUGCGCAGAUAUCAGGAGGAACACCGGUGGCGAAGGCGGGUCUCUGGGCCGAUACUGACGCUGAGGAGCGAAAGCGUGGGGAGCAAACAGG